UUUGCUGUUUUGACUUUUUGCAGUUUGCAGAGGCUAUAGUGUGUGGUGGUAGUCUGAAUGUGUCCUCAGACAAAAUCCUGGACUAUCGUACCGAAAUUUUCCGGACAAUAAUACACAAUCAAGAUCAUGACACAAGAAAUCUCUGCAGGUACUGUGGAAGGCAGAAUCCUAUAUGCAGGAAGGGGUCAAAUGCUUCAAAACAUAUUAGAUGGAUUGGAUGUGAUGCCUGUGACCUAUUCUGGGUCCACCUGAAUUGCUGUCAAGAGAGAAUGCAUGGAAGAAGAAUCUUUUUGUGUGAUAUCUGCAGGCUUUGUGUAUAGUCUGGGAUAAAUAUUUGUUCCCAGAAGGAUAAUGUAACUUUUGAUGCUUAUUAACAUCUGAUUGUGGACUUUCCAUUCACACUUCAUCAGUGGUCAGAUUGAACUUCAUUCCAUGCAGAUUAACAUCACUCCAUUUGUUG